rnacentral:rRNA from 1 species
CUAAUACAUGCAAGUCGAGCGAGAAGGUGUAGCAAUACACUUGUAAAGCGGCGAACGGGUGAGGAAUACAUGGGUAACCUACCAUCGAGUGGGGAAUAACCAGCCGAAAGGUUGGCUAAUACCGCGUACGCCUCCGGAUUUUCGGAUUCGGAGGGAAAGCCACGCUGUGAGUGUGGCGCUCUUUGAUGGGCUCAUGUCCUAUCAGCUUGUUGGUAGGGUAACGGCCUACCAAGGCUUUGACGGGUAGCUGGUCUGAGAGGACGAUCAGCCACACUGGCACUGCGACACGGGCCAGACUCCUACGGGAGGCAGCAGUAAGGAAUAUUGCGCAAUGGACGACAGUCUGACGCAGCGACGCCGCGUGGGGGAUGAAGGUCUUCGGAUUGUAAACCCCUUUCGGGAGGGAAGAUGGAACGAGCAAUCGUUCGGACGGGCCUCCAGA